UUAACAAAUUUGUAUGCCGUUGGAAAGUUUGCCUAUGUUUGCCGCCAGGGGCGCUGUUCCAACUGAAUACAAAAUUGAGUUA
rnacentral:pre_miRNA from 1 species